rnacentral:tRNA from 1 species
GGUCCGGUAGCUCAACUGGAUAGAGCAACUGCGUUCUAAGCAGUAGGUCAUGCCGGUCCGCCGGCGCGGUUCGAAUCGCAUCCGGAUCA